rnacentral:tRNA from 3 species
GGAAGGGUCGCAUAGUGGUCUAGUGCGAUUGCUUGGAAAGCAAUUAUGGGAGAAAUCCCAUCGCGAGUUCGAAUCUCGCCCCUUCCGCUA